GACUGCGUAAAAUCCAGCUAGAAACUGGUGGCGAUCUUCUUGGGUGAGAGGCCUCAUCAAGAAGGAGCUUGACUUGAUUUUGUGUGAGUCUGCCGAGUGACUGCAAGGAUCAAGGGGUUAAGCAAUAGGAAAGAGAUUGUGUUAGAUAGAUAGGUUUCGAGGAAACUGGACAAUCUGUAAACAAGUCACAAUUCUUUCUAUUGGAGAAAAAGCUGAAAUCCAGUUGGAUUGUCAGGACUGGAUGUAGGUUGUCAUUGACAACUGAACCAGGAUAAACCUUAGUGCAUUCUAUCCCUUAUCCUUUUACUCUUAAUUGUUAAUCUUGUAUGCCGCAUUAUAAUUCCGCUGUGUGUAUGAAUCUGAAUAAAUCUUGCAUCNNNN
rnacentral:lncRNA from 1 species